rnacentral:rRNA from 1 species
ACUCCUACGGGAGGCAGCAGUGGGGAAUAUUGCACAAUGGGCGCAAGCCUGAUGCAGCCAUGCCUCGUGUGUGAGAAGGCCAUUCGGGCUUGGUUAAGACACUUUCAGUUGUGAGGAAGGUGGUGUCGUUAAUAGUGGCAUCAUUUGACGUUAGCAACAGAAGAAGCACCGGCUAACUCCGUGCCAGCAGCCGCGGUAAUACGGAGGGUGCGAGCGUUAAUCGGAAUUACUGGGCGUAAAGCGCAUGCAGGUGGUUUGUUAAGUCAGAUGUGAAAGCCCGGGGCUCAACCUCGGAACUGCAUUUGAAACUGGCAGACUAGAGUACUGUAGAGGGGGUAGAAUUUCAGGUGUAGCGGUGAAAUGCGUAGAGAUCUGAAGGAAUACCGGUGGCGAAGGCGGCCCCCUGGACAGAUACUGACACUCAGAUGCGAAAGCGUGGGGAGCAAACAGGAUUAGAUACCCUGGUAGGAUAG